rnacentral:rRNA from 1 species
GGGUCAGUAGGUUGGUCGUGCCACCGGUACGUACUGGUCUCACUGAUUCCUCCUUCCUGAAGACCCGUAAUGCCAUUAAUUUGGUGUUGCGGGGAAACAGGACUGUUACUUUGAAAAAAUUACAGUGUUUAAAGCAAGCUAACGCUUGAAUACAUUAGCAUGGAAUAAUGAAAUAGGACGAUCGAUCCUAUUUUGUUGGUUUCUAGGAUUGACGUA